UCUUUACAAACGAAGACUCGAAACAAUCUCCCACUCCUCGCUUACACUCUCCAACACAUUUUCUCAAACACCUCCUCUUCAAACUUGAAGAACCUCACAAACCGGCCCUUUCAAGAAUCCAAGCGAAACUAAUUCACAUCUCACUUUGAAUCAAAAUUUCCUAAUACAUUGGUACACGCGAUUCUCUCGAAUCCAAUGAGCGACGAGGGUUUCGAUGAUUGGGACGCAGAUUUCGUGUUCCAACUCAUCCAAGUCGAAGAACAAGCCUUGUCCUUAUCAAACCCUACCCAACUCCACCACCCCCAACCACCACCACCGUCUUCCCAUUUUCCACCACCGCCUGCGCCGCCGUACGACGAUAUCAGCUAUUCGCCUCCCCGGGAGUUGUCUCAGAGGAUCAGAGGUGGUGGUAGUAAGACGAAUGAUUUCGAUCAGUCUUCCAUUGCCAUUGGUCGCAUCGUCGUCGCUUCGGUUUCGUCUCGUAACCCGAAAGAAGAAGAAAUCGAGAGAUUGAAGAUUGAGCUCGGUCGUGUUUCCAAACAGCUUACCCACCUGGAACAAGAUUGCUUACAGCUUCGCAAGGAAAGAGACAAGAAAGAGGAGCAGCUUAAUUCUAUAUUUUCGCAAGUUGAAGAAAAAGAUGUUGAGGUUCAGCGCAGAAAGAGCAAAAACUUGGAAUAUGGAGUUCAUGCUCGUGACCAUCCUGGAAUUUCUUUAGGAUUUCGAAAUGGUGACUCUUCAAAUGAUCACGUUGGCUCUCGGAUUAAUGUAGUUACUUCAACUUGUAAAGCAAUAGGAGUUCAGACGGACAAGUCUGGGGAAUCUACCAUUUUAUCAAAUAAAAAUGAUUUGUCAACUUCUCAAUGUCGUCAAAACAAGUUGUUGUCUGUUUGGGAAUCAUCAAGUGGCCAAGGAUCACCAAGAAAUCUGGUUUCAAAGUUGUUGGUGGCUUGUGAAACAGAUUUUCAUGUCCUUUUUGGUUGUUUUAACUUAUCUUCCAAAGGAACGCUGAACUCUCUAGCAGAUGCAAGAUCUUCUGAUGUGAGUUUGCAGGACCACAAGCCACCUACUUUGUCUGCUGAAGCAGAGAAAGUAUCUCAUCUGUACUCUAUGUUAACAAAGAUUGACUCUGGGAUGGUAAAGUUGGAUGCUUUGUUUGAAGCUUUAGUUGAUCUUUGCAGUCUUGAAAAUGAUGUUAUUAUGUAUAGAUCUCUGCGGGUACUGCGAAUGGUUGUGAGUCACACAUUCGGUUUGGAAAUGGAAUCUCAUAGAAGGGAUAAUGUCAUAGUUGAAGGACCUUCAUUGGACAACACUGAGGAUAUUUAUGGAUUCAAAUGUGCUGAAACUGGAACUCUGUUCUCUGCGGAUGUUGAUGAGAUGUCUGAUUCAGGCCUUAUUACAUUUAGAAGGAGUUUAUUGAAUGCAGAAAGUUUAUGUAAAAAGGAACAAAGAAAUCAUGGAUCUGCUGUGCUGACAUCUUGUUUAGAUUGGUUUUCUGUCUUUGAACUGAUGCGUCAAAUAGCCAUGAGGAGUACUGAAGAAUGUGUAAGAUUGGAAGCUGUUUCUAUUAUGAAUAUGAUUCUCAUGAGAAGUAAUGCUUACUUGGAUAGGGGGAAAUUUGCAAGAAUUUUGGUGUUUCAAAGUAUUUCACAUUUGUUAAGGAAAGAAUCUGGUUUGAGCGUGCAAAAGCAAGUUGUGCAUCUUCUAUACCUGCUACUAAAUUGUAAGUUCCCCUUUUCUUUCACCUUCGAUUUUAAUGAAUUACUCACUUAAUUUUGGGUUUGUGCCAGUUGUUCUAGUUACUAGCUUCCUAAAGUUUCAAGGUUGUCUCCCUGGCUUAUUUUUAUUCUCACACAUGCCUUCUAAAUCUUUUAGCUUCUUUUUUGAUAAAUAAAUAAAUUGUCACCUUAAAUUUUUGUUAAGUUAUCUUUCUCUUAUCUUGGAAAGGAGUUUUUAACAUCUCAUAGAAUUAUAUAUAUUUUACUUCUUGGGACUCCUCUUUGUCCCUGAUUCGUGCUUGAUACUUAUGGAUCAGGUAUAUUAACCCAAUGGAUUUUGCUUGUUUCUAAUGAUACCGUUUAAUGAUAUUUGCUUUGGCUCAUCUUUGUUCUUUGUGAACUAUCUGAACCUGGCUGGAGUGUUAUUUUUAUAAUGGUUUUGAAUUUUUUCAUAGCAGUGAAGAAAAGCCUGAUGGAGUUUUUUUUAAGCUUAAUAAAACUUUAAGACAGCAGAAUUUGUCACAUUGGUUUGUGUUAUACCCAGCAGUACUUUCUUUCUGUAAUAAUAAAAGUUGUUGAAGUAGAAACAAUGAAAAAGCUUGCUACUUAACAAAAAAAGAAAAAAGAAAAAGAAAAAGCUUGCAUUGACUUGAAUAAUGGCAUAAAUGCAUGCAAUAUCUCACCUUUCUUCUCUAUUCAGAUCUAAGGCAUUCACAGGGUAAUAGGUGGUGAGUGUAUUGUGGUGGUGACGAUGGUGACUGAACCACCAGAUAUAUGACAGAAUGCUAUAUGAUGAAAUGCUGAUGGGGUCUUACCUAGGCAUCCGACCAAAUGAAUUUUAUACUCCUUUUUCGUGUUGGUGGAUUCUAUGUAGAAAGAAUUUUAGAUAUAUUGUGUGACUUCAAGAAAAGGGGAAAAUAACUUACUAUAUUGAUGCUAUAAUCUUGUAGUUCUAUGCAUUCGUACUGUAUGGACGUUAUAAUCUUAUAGUUCUCUGCAUUUCAUGUUGUCCUCUCUCUCUCUCUCUCUCUGAAUUUCAAACUUCUAGAGUUGAGGUGUAACUACUUGUUCAUAGUUUUA